UUGUUCUCAAGACUCCUAAAUAAAGCAUUUCCCCUGUGUGGGCGACCCCUGGGUCCCAUGUGGGGUCAGUGUUUGGGUCUCUCUGAGAGGAUCAGGAAGGCUGCUCUUCCAGGAAGGGCUGCAGGGACCCUGGGAACCGGACCAGUCCAGCUCACAAGUAUGAAGAGAAUGUCGGGAGAGGAAGUGGUGGCUAUGAGUCAGCAUGAGUCAUCUCGUUCCAAUGAGAAUGAAGGCUGAGGUGUGCGCCUUUUUUUUUUUUCCUUCUUAGUCGUGUGUACAUCAUUGGGAAUGGAGGGAAAUAAAUGACUGGAUGGUCGCUGCUUUUUAAGUUUCAAAUUGACAUUCCAGACAAGCGGUGCCUGAGCCCGUGCCUGUCUUCAGAUCUUCACAGCACAGUUCCUGGGAAGGUGGAGCCACCAGCCUCUCCCUGACAAGCAAAGUGGAUCAGCAAAGGCUGCAGUCACCAGCAUCUUUUCCAACCUUAAUGAACUGUAUCCUCAAAAGAACACUAUCAGACUGGCUCUGCCGACUUCCAGUUCUGGAACAAGAUGGUUAAACUCAUUUUUCCCUGCUCUGCUCCUCUAAAUACAACUAAGUACCUUGGAAACUAUUCAGCAGACAAUGAUAAAGGGCUCUGAAAGCUAGAAGAAAAGGUGUACUUGCAAGAAACCUCAGGACUUGAGUAACAGCAACAUGGAAAGGAGAAAGAGACUACCUACUGCAUUUCUGUCACUCGCUGAAAAGGACACUCUGUCAGAAAAUCUUCUAGCAAACUUCAAAGGGCAAAAUCACCCCUUGUUACUGAUAAAGCCCAGAGAGCUUCAGCAGCUAACAUUCCCUGGACAGGGCACAGCAAGGAUUUGAACCUAGGUCAGUCUGGCCAGAACACCCACAAGCUUUCCUUAACUCAGUGUGCUAUCUCCCCACGACUAGGUCACUACUGCUUUAUAAUCACCUUUGUAGCCACCAGUGGAUUUUGCUCAUCAGUAUUUUUCAGGCAAUUGAUACUUUAGAUAUUCAGCUGCAAGACGUAUGCAGUUUUCAUUGACAUCUUUUGGAGAAACUGACAAACCUGGACUUGACUUAAUGCCUUUGGAACCUUCCAAGAUGUUAUAUAACUCUAGAUAGAAGGCUGGGCCUCCAUGAUGUCAGGAAUGUUGCAUUCUUAUUUCCCCAUAGAUAAACCCAUUUGUCCACAAAGUCAAGGAGUCAGGCAGAGGCCCUUGCCAUGGGGCUUUUUAGGAUAAAGCAACAAGCCUGGACUUUGCUCUACAACAGGGUUUUGCAUAGGGAGUGGUAUGACCAGAUCCCUCAAGAAAGAAAGCUUAGAGACCAGGCCAGAGUCCACUGCAGUAGCCCAGUCAAGAGAGGAUGGUGACUUGGACUUGUAGUAGAGCCAGUUAGAAUGAAAGAAAUUGACACAUUCAGAAAUGGUUUUAGAGAUAGAGUCAAACUGGACCUGAUAAAGAACUAGAGAAGCGGAGUGAGGAUAAAGAGAAGAGCCAUGACUGACUCGGAAGAUUUUGUCUUGAAAAACUUGAGAACUCAAGACAGAGUGAAAUAAAAUCACAUGUGGGAAAAAUCUCCUGCUUUGUUUUGGACUACUUUGAAGUGAAAUGCCUGUUAAGCCUAAGUGGGGUAGGUCAUGGCGUACAUGACUGUGGGCUCAGGAUGGAUACAGGCAUUCAGGAGUUGUGAGCAAAUAGAACUUAAAGCCAUGAGAGAAGAAGGGAUCACCAAGAGAGACAGUGUGGCAUAGAGAAGAAAAGGGGUGGAAGACGAUCCCUGGGCAGAAAAGUCCUUAGAGCAGAGGCAACAGGCAUGACCAAGAAGACUAAGAAAGAACAUUCAGUACAGCAGGAGGAGAGCAAAAAAUGUGUGGUAUUCUAGAAGCAAAGAGAAUAAAGGGCUUCAGGAAGGAGCAGUCAAGUGUGUCAAAUAAGAUAAAGACAGACAAGUCCCCUGGAUUGGGUAGGAAUAAAAUAACAACAGACUGCCAUACAAAUGGUUCUAUCUACACCAUCUAAAAGAAUAUAGUUUAUUCUCCAUACAUUUAAGAAACACCUGCCAUAUGCCAGGUAUCCUUUCAAGCACUGAAAUGCAGAUUCAUAAAACAUGGUCUCUGCUCUCAAGGAGCUCACAGUGGUAAGGAGGAAACAGGCAAUAGCGAGUGUUCUCAUUGCAUUCGUGACCCCAUUGAUCUUGCAACAGCCCCAUGCAUCAGUUAUUGCCAUUAUACCAUUUUACCGAUAAGGAAACUGUGGCAGGGAGGGGUCAAGCACCUUGGGUAUUUGACAGCAAAACCAAGGCUUGGUGGUAUCAUAAAACUUCCAAGUAGUAAUUCACAAAGGUGACUGGGAAAUGGAAGUGACCAGAAAUCUUUGCACUAUGAGGACAAGUUCAUGACCCUGAUACAUUCUUGUCCAGGUAGUAUAGCUCCAGACCAAAUGUCUGCGGCCACCCACCCAAAAACUUGUUGGAUAAAAAUGACUACACCUAUAGUCAAAUGAUUUUUGACAAAGGUGCCAAACAGUUAGAUAGGAAAAAGAAAGUUAUUUUCAAUAAAUGUUGCUGGAGCAACCAGAUAUCCAUAUGGAAAAAAAAUCUUGACCACCUACCUCACACCAAACACUAAUAUUAACUUGAGAUGGAUCAUAAACCUAAGUCUGAAAACUAAUAGUAAAGUUCUUGAGAAGAGAACAUGGGAGAAUGUCUUCAUGAUGUUCAGGUAGGCAAAGAUAUUUUAAGACACAAAAAAGCAAUAAGCAUAAAAUUUGUAAAGAGGUGACUGGGGCUUUAUCAAAAUUAAAAUUUAUGUGUAUUAAAAGACAUCAUGAAUAAAGGGAAAAGGGCAGCCACAGACUGGGAGAAACUCUUUACUAUACAUAUACCUAACUGAGG
rnacentral:lncRNA from 10 species